rnacentral:rRNA from 1 species
GAUGAACGCUGGCGGCGUGCUUAACACAUGCAAGUCGAACGGUGAAAGAGAGCUUGCUCUCUGGAUCAGUGGCGAACGGGUGAGUAACACGUGAGCAAUCUGCCCCUGACUCUGGGAUAAGCGCUGGAAACGGCGUCUAAUACCGGAUACGAGCUGCGAAGGCAUCUUCAGCAGCUGGAAAGAACUUCGGUCAGGGAUGAGCUCGCGGCCUAUCAGCUAGUUGGUGAGGUAACGGCUCACCAAGGCGUCGACGGGUAGCCGGCCUGAGAGGGUCACCGGCCACACUGGGACUGAGACACGGCCCAGACUCCUACGGGAGGCAGCAGUGGGGAAUAUUGCACAAUGGGCGAAAGCCUGAUGCAGCAACGCCGCGUGAGGGACGACGGCCUUCGGGUUGUAAACCUCUUUUAGCAGGGAAGAAGCGAAAGUGACGGUACCUGCAGAAAAAGCACCGGCUAACUACGUG